AUUGAACGCUGGCGGCAGGCCUAACACAUGCAAGUCGAGCGAGCGGCGGACGGGUGAGUAAUGUCUGGGAAACUGCCUGAUGGAGGGGGAUAACUACUGGAAACGGUAGCUAAUACCGCAUACCAUCAGAUGUGCCCAGAUGGGAUUAGCUAGUAGGUGGGGUGACGGCUCACCUAGGCGACGAUCCCUAGCUGGUCUGAGAGGAUGACCAGCACCACUGGAACUGGUCCACGGUCCAGACUCCUACGGGAGGCAGAAGUGGGGAAUAUUGCACAAUUGGCGCCAGCCUGAUGCAGCCAUGCCGCGUGUUUGAAGAAGGCCUUCGGGUUGUAAAGCACUUUCAGCGGGGAGGCGUUACCCGCAGAAGAAGCACCGGCUAACUCCGUGCCAGCAGCCGCGGUAAUUC
rnacentral:rRNA from 1 species